rnacentral:lncRNA from 1 species
UCUUUCUUCAUACUUUUCAAUAUCAUAAGCGUUAAAUUUGGCAUGAAUUUUAUCUCCCUGCAACAAUAAAUAAAAUGUUAAUGAAAUUUGUAAUUGUAAUUAAUAUUUAUUUUUGUGUACAGAAAUUCUUACAAAUUCAUCUAUCAGUAUCAUGUUUAUUUUGGCCUUUUUGGCAUCACCAUAAUCCUCCUUCCACAUUGUCAUAAUUCUUGCUUUGAUUUUGGAGCUAAAACUGUUUCUUGAGAUGUCACGAACGCGAAGAACACCAUCGUUAACCAUUGUUGUUCCUGAAAAUUAUGAUUUAAAUGCGAUUAGUUAAAUAAGAUAUAGUAAUUAUUUUAAAAGGACUCUAUCAACAGAAUUCAACACAUCUAAUAAAAAAUGGCGAGUGAUCAGCUAGUCCAGACAAAUUUACCUUAAAAUUUGAUAACUCCUUGUUGUUGUAGAUGAUGAACUUUCAAUGCAAUUGUAUUUAGGUUAUGUGAAGAAGCUAGAUUUAUAUAGAAGUUUUUGGUUUGGUUUUUAGGGUUUCUAUUGAUUGAUUCAUGAAGUUUAUGGAAGUAGGAUUCUUCUUAGUCGGCAAGAUCUUGUAGAAGAUUUUCUUGUCGAUUUGGUUAAUGAAGUUAGAUUCAGUUUUCCGAAAAGUUAGGAUUAAGGAAAU